GGUACUGUGGCUUAGUUGGUUAAAGCACCUGACUAGUAAACAGGAGAUCCUAGGUUCAAAUCCCAGCAAUGUCU
rnacentral:tRNA from 1 species